rnacentral:rRNA from 1 species
GAUACGGCCCAGACUCCUACGGGAGGCAGCAGUGGGGAAUAUUGCACAAUGGGCGAAAGCCUGAUGCAGCAACGCCGCGUGCGGGAUGACGGCCUUCGGGUUGUAAACCGCUUUCAGCAGGGACGAAGGGUUUCUGACGGUACCUGCAGAAGAAGCACCGGCUAACUACGUGCCAGCAGCCGCGGUGAUACGUAGGGUGCGAGCGUUGUCCGGAAUUAUUGGGCGUAAAGAGCUUGUAGGCGGUCCGUUGCGUCGGAAGUGAAAACUCGGGGCUUAACCCCGAGCCUGCUUUCGAUACGGGCGGACUUGAGGGAUGUAGGGGAGAACGGAAUUCCUGGUGGAGCGGUGGAAUGCGCAGAUAUCAGGAGGAACACCAGUGGCGAAGGCGGUUCUCUGGACAUUUCCUGACGCUGAGAAGCGAAAGCGUGGGGAGCAAACAGGCUUAGAUACCCUGGUAGUCCACGCCGUAAACGGUGGGCACUAGGUGUGGGACCCAUUCCACGGGUUCCGUGCCGUAGCUAACGCAUUAAGUGCCCCGCCUGGGGAGUACGGCCGCAAGGCUAAAACUCAAAGGAAUUGACGGGGGCCCGCACAAGCGGCGGAGCAUGCGGAUUAAUUCGAUGCAACGCGAAGAACCUUACCUGGGUUUGACAUAUACCGGAAACAUCUGGAGACAGGUGCCCCGCAAGGUCGGUAUACAGGUGGUGCAUGGCUGUCGUCAGCUCGUGUCGUGAGAUGUUGGGUUAAGUCCCGCAACGAGCGCAACCCUCGUCCAAUGUUGCCAGCGGAUAAUGCCGGGGACUCAUUGGAGACCGCCGGGGUCAACUCGGAGGAAGGUGGGGAUGACGUCAAGUCAUCAUGCCCCUUAUGUCCAGGGCUUCACGCAUGCUACAAUGGCCGGUACAAAGAGCUGCGAACCUGCAAGGGUGAGCGAAUCUCAAAAAGCCGGUCUCAGUUCGGAUUGGGGUCUGCAACUCGACCCCAUGAAGUCGGAGUCGCUAGUAAUCGCAGAUCAGCAACGCUGCGGUGAAUACGUUCCCGGGCCUUGUACACACCGCCCGUCAAGUCAUGAAAGUCGGUAACACCCGAAGCCGGUGGCCUAACCCUUGUGGAGGGAGCCGUCGAAGGUGGGACCGGUAAUUAGGACUAAGUCGUAACAAGGUAGCCGUACCGGAAGGUGCGGCUG